UACAGAGGUCCCAAGCGUUGUUCGGAUUCAUUGGGCGUAAAGGGUGCGUAGGCGGCGCGGUAAGUCGGGUGUGAAAUCUCGGAGCUUAACUCCGAAACUGCAUUCGAUACUGCCGUGCUUGAGGACUGGAGAGGAGACUGGAAUUACGGUGUAGCGGAUGAAUGCGUAGAUAUCGUAAGGAAGACCAGUGGCGAAGGCGGGUCUCUGGACAGUUCCUGACGCUGAGGCACGAAGGCCAGGGGAGCAAACGGG
rnacentral:rRNA from 1 species